GGGUUAAGUCCGCAACGAGCGCAACCCUUGUCAUUAGUUGCUACGAAAAGGGGCGACUCUAAUGAGACUGCCGGUGACAAACCGGAGGAAGGUGGGGAUGACGUCAAGUCCUCAUGGCCCUUAUAGGUGGGGCUACACACGUCAUACAAUGGCUGGUACAAAGGGUUGCCAACCCGCGAGGGGGAGCCAAUCCCAUAAAGCCAGUCGUAGUCCGGAUCGCAGUCUGCAACUCGACUGCGUGAAGUCGGAAUCGCUAGUAAUCGUGGAUCAGCAUGUCACGGUGAAUACGUUCCCGGGUCUU
rnacentral:rRNA from 1 species